rnacentral:rRNA from 1 species
UCAUAUGUACAUGCCUACAAUGUUAACACAUCAUAUCCCAUUAUAAAUAUACAAUUAAAAUCACUUGGGAUAGAGUAGUACUGGGAUGGGUGAUCUCCCGUGAAUUUUGUAAACUUAGAUC